rnacentral:rRNA from 1 species
UACGGAAGGCAGCAGUGGGGAAUAUUGCACAAUGGGCGAAAGCCUGAUGCAGCUAUGCCGCGUGUAUGAAGAAGGCCUUAGGGUUGUAAAGUACUUUCAUCGGGGAGGAAAAAACAAAACUAAUAAUUUUAUUUCUUGACGUUACCCGAAAAAGAAGCACCGGCUAACUCCGUGCCAGCAGCCGCGGUAAUACGGAGGGUGCUAGCGUUAAUCAGAAUUACUGGGCGUAAAGAGCACGUAGGUGGUUUUUUUAAGUCAGAUGUGAAAUCCCUGGGCUUAACCUAGGAACUGCAUUUUGAAACUGAAAUACUAGAGUAUCGUAGAGGGAGGUAGAAUUCUAGGUGUAGCGGUGAAAUGCGUAGAUAUCUGGAGGAAUACCUGUGGCGAAAGCGGCCUCUUAAACGAAUACUGACACUGAGGUGCGAAAGCGUGGGGAGCAAACAGGGAUUAGAUACC